rnacentral:rRNA from 1 species
GACGAACGCUGGCGGCGUGCUUAACACAUGCAAGUCGAACGGAAAGGCCCUGCUUUUGUGGGGUGCUCGAGUGGCGAACGGGUGAGUAACACGUGAGUAACCUGCCCUUGACUUUGGGAUAACUUCAGGAAACUGGGGCUAAUACCGGAUAGGAGCUCCUGCUGCAUGGUGGGGGUUGGAAAGUUUCGGCGGUUGGGGAUGGACUCGCGGCUUAUCAGCUUGUUGGUGGGGUAGUGGCUUACCAAGGCUUUGACGGGUAGCCGGCCUGAGAGGGUGACCGGCCCCAUGGGAAUUGAGAAGCCGCCCGGAUCCCCACGGGGGGCAGGAAGGGGGAUUCUUGAUAAGGGGGCGGGUGCUUCAGCAGCAACGCCCGGGGGGGGAGGGAGGGCUUUCGGGUGGGAGCCCGGUUUCGCGUUAGGGGGAGGGCGAGAAGAGGUAAUGGUGAAAGGAGCAGCGGUAAACUCAGU